rnacentral:rRNA from 1 species
GACGAACGCUGGCGGCGUGCUUAACACAUGCAAGUCGAACGGAAAGGCCCUGCUUUUGUGGGGUGCUCGAGUGGCGAACGUGUGAGUAACACGUGAGUAACCUGCCCUUGACUUUGGUAUAACUUCAGGAACCUGGGGCUAAUACCGGAUAGUAGCUCCUGCUGCAUGGUGGGUGUUGGAAAGUUUCGUCGGUUGGGGAUGGACUCGCGGCUUAUCAGCUUGUUGGUGGGGUAGUGGCUUACCAAGGCUUUGACGGGUAGCCGGCCUGAGAGGGUGACCGGCCACAUUGGGACUGAGAUACGGCCCAGACUCCUACGGGAGGCAGCAGUGGGGAAUAUUGCACAAUGGGCGGAAGCCUGAUGCAGCAACGCCGCGUGCGGGAUGACGGCCUUCGGGUUGUAAACCGCUUUCGCCUGUGACGAAGCGUGAGUGACGGUAAUGGGUAAAGAAGUACCGGCUAACUACGUG